rnacentral:rRNA from 1 species
UACGUAGGGUGCGAGCGUUAAUCGGAAUUACUGGGCGUAAAGCGUGCGCAGGCGGGCUUUUAAGCCAGAUGUGAAAUCCCCGGGCUCAACCUGGGAAUGGCGUUUGGGACUGGAAGUCUGGAGUGCGGCAGAGGAGACUGGAAUUCCUGGUGUAGCAGUGAAAUGCGUAGAUAUCAGGAGGAACACCGAUGGCGAAGGCAGGUCUCUGGGCUGACACUGACGCUCAUGCACGAAAGCGUGGGGAGCAAACAGG